GACGAACGCUGGCGGCGUGCUUAACACAUGCAAGUCGAACGGAAAGGCCCUGCUUUUGUGGGGUGCUCGAGUGGCGAACGGGUGAGUAACACGUGAGUAACCUGCCCUUGACUUUGGGAUAACUUCAGGAAACUGGGGCUAAUACCGGAUAGGAGCUCCUGCUGCAUGGUGGGGGUUGGAAAGUUUCGGCGGUUGGGGAUGGACUCGCGGCUUAUCAGCUUGUUGGUGGGGUAGUGGCUUACCAAGGCUUUGACGGGUAGCCGGCCUGAGAGGGUGACCGGCCACAUUGGGACUGAGAUACGGCCCAGACUCCUACGGGAGGCAGCAGUGGGGAAUAUUGCACAAUGGGCGGAAGCCUGAUGCAGCAACGCCGCGUGCGGGAUGACGGCCUUCGGGUUGUAAACCGCUUUCGCCUGUGACGAAGCGUGAGUGACGGUAAUGGGUAAAGAAGCACCGGCUAACUACGUGCCAGCAGCCGCGGUGAUACGUAGGGUGCGAGCGUUGUCCGGAUUUAUUGGGCGUAAAGGGCUCGUAGGUGGUUGAUCGCGUCGGAAGUGUAAUCUUGGGGCUUAACCCUGAGCGUGCUUUCGAUACGGGUUGACUUGAGGAAGGUAGGGGAGAGUGGAAUUCCUGGUGGAGCGGUGGAAUGCGCAGAUAUCAGGAGGAACACCAGUGGCGAAGGCGGUUCUCUGGGCCUUUCCUGACGCUGAGGAGCGAAAGCGUGGGGAGCGAACAGGCUUAGAUACCCUGGUAGUCCACGCUGUAAACGGUGGGUACUAGGUGUGGGGUCCAUUCCACGGGUUCCGUGCCGUAGCUAACGCUUUAAGUACCCCGCCUGGGGAGUACGGCCGCAAGGCUAAAACUCAAAGGAAUUGACGGGGCCCCGCACAAGCGGCGGAGCAUGCGGAUUAAUUCGAUGCAACGCGUAGAACCUUACCUGGGUUUGACAUGGAUCGGGAGUGCUCAGAGAUGGGUGUGCCUCUUUUGGGGUCGGUUCACAGGUGGUGCAUGGCUGUCGUCAGCUCGUGUCGUGAGAUGUUGGGUUAAGUCCCGCAACGAGCGCAACCCUUGUUCACUGUUGCCAGCACGUUAUGGUGGGGACUCAGUGGAGACCGCCGGGGUCAACUCGGAGGAAGGUGGGGAUGACGUCAAGUCAUCAUGCCCCUUAUGUCCAGGGCUUCACGCAUGCUACAAUGGCUGGUACAGAGAGUGGCGAGCCUGUGAGGGUGAGCGAAUCUCGGAAAGCCGGUCUCAGUUCGGAUUGGGGUCUGCAACUCGACCUCAUGAAGUCGGAGUCGCUAGUAAUCGCAGAUCAGCAACGCUGCGGUGAAUACGUUCCCGGGGCU
rnacentral:rRNA from 1 species